AGACGGCCGGGGCUUCCUUGAGCCAACGUACAAUUGGGGUUUUGGUGGCACCCGGAAAGCUGAGCUUAUUUUAUAAGCCAUUUACUGACUUGGCUUCUUAAACGCAGUUUACUUUUUUUCUAGUGGCUUUGGGCUCUCAGUAGGCAACUAGGAGGCUUGGCUGGCACGCUCGUUGCCGUCUCGUGGGGCCCCAGAAGGUUUGACGUUGGGGCAGGGGGGCAGCUCUGCAGAAGGGAGGGAAGGACGUGGGAGCGGAGACAGGAUUCCGGAGCGGACCCUGAGGACAUGUGCCCCGGGAGAGGUGGGACAGAGACCCGGAGCCCCUUCCUAACCCCCGCCUCCCAGGAGCAGCCCAGCCCUGCCUGCCUCCCCCAGCAAGGAACUUGCCUGCUCUAGAACGUCGCAGAGUCGCCGUUGUACGAGGUGAACUUCGUGUCUGACUUCUUCAUGGAACACAAGGUUUGGAAUUUUGAGUUUUUCCAGAAAUGUGUCCAUUUGACCCGAGACGUCCUCAAAUACCCCUGUCUAAUCACCUCAGCUUGCACCUGGAGAGAGGCCCGUGAAUCGGCCUCGGGGCCGGAGGCGCAGCCACCGGGAGGCGGCCCAGGACCCAGUGCACCUGUGGGCGCGCAGCCCUGCCCACCUGUGGGGGCUGACGGGGCUGGGGGGCAGGUUUGCCCGAGGUCUGGGCAAACCCCUUGCAGCCUCCUCGGAAGCCUCACCUGGGAGAUGACCGUGGCACCUGCCUCAGGUGUGCAGGAGACACGGAUUCAGUGAGGUGAGGCAGGUGAGGAGCACGCUGGCAGCGUUUGCCCCGUAAAUGCGUGUUUCCCACCUUCCCCGGGAAACAGAGCCCCGGGGACGUCCUGAGGGCUCCUGAGGGCUCUUG
rnacentral:lncRNA from 1 species